rnacentral:lncRNA from 1 species
AUGAGCUACAACAGGCAAAGCGAGAGGAAAAAGGGAGAAACGAAAGAGACAUGCGAUCGUGCUUCGGGUUUGGGUUUGGGGGGUGCAUACCUGCGCCUCUUCUCAGACGAUUUGCGGGCGAACUCUGCGGCCGCCGACAGCCGUGCCGAGCGGACCAUGCUGCCCCGCCUUCGUUCGCACCCAUGCGCCGGCCUCGCGCCGUCGAAGGCGACUGGGCGUACGACGAUUUCUGGGGGAGAUCGGAGGAGCCAGACGGAACGGCACGGCGAAGGGACUCCACUCCAUUGGGAAACACCCGAGCCCAACCGCGCUUUUCAUGAAACGGGCUGGACUGUGGUACUAUCAGCACAUUAAGCAUUGCUGG